CUCCUGUGAAAACAGAUGUCCCAGAGCAGUUACAAGGCUCUUUCAGGAGAAUUUCCUCCAAGAAGAUUUUGCAACUCAAAUGUGAAGCCUCUUCAGGACCAUAAGUUCCAUGAUUUCAGUAGCCGCAUCAGAGCUCUGGUUUCAGUAACCAUGGUGUCAGCUGUGGGACUCUGGAGGCAUCCAGCACGAGGAGUGUAGACUCUUCCAGCCUCAGUUCCGGCUUCUGUAAGUGAGUGGGUUUUCUCCCAAGGAAGCAAUUCCCAAGACAAGAAUUGUUUGAGAAAACUGCAACUGGAUUUGCCUAUACAUGCAGCAGUAAACUUCAGUGAGCACCUGACCCUAUUUUCAGGAGCAGCAGAAAGGCACAUUUACCCCACACAGGAUGCAUAGUCAUCUUUGGUAGUUGGGAACUACUGUAAAGUUUUCAAGACUUAAUUGGAAUUGAAGUGGUUCCAGCCGCUCUGCUCACUAGCAGCCUAAGAACCUGUGCCUGUCCCUGGAGGAGGAAAGCAGUAGGAGGGUCUUGACAUGCUGGGCCAGGGCUCACAGAACAUUUGCCGAAUGAAAGUGUGGGUGAGUGAGUGGAACAAGGAAUGUCCCAGGAAAAAACACUUGAAGAGGGAAGCCUGAAGGGAAAGUCAGUGUUUGCUGUAUUUGUCUUAG
rnacentral:lncRNA from 10 species